rnacentral:lncRNA from 1 species
AAAUUUAGAGUUUUUGUUUUGUUUUUGUAUUUGAACCGUUUUGAAAAGAUGGGGUUCACCAUUAAUAUUUCGUUGGAUAAUUUCCAUACACCAUAGUGGAUCCAAAGCAAUAGUUUAGGCAUUUCUGAGAGCUAAGAUACUUGGCAAAAGCGAAUGGGAAAACUUUGAAACCCUUAUGACCAUUUCAACACAUAAUCAUCUUCAGCAAAGUUCAUUUCCAGAGAAAAUAUAAACUAUUGCUUUGACUAGCGGCAUCAUACGAUCAGAAUUUGGUCAGAGACUUACAAAGGGGGUCAAGGUAAACUCCUACUGUAUGGCAGUAUUGGGGUGGGCGAUGUGAAAAGGAAAACGUUGCUGCGGCUGCUGCUGCUGCUGCUGCAGAGAGUACGAUCAGGAGGGACGACAGAGGAGUGAACAGAGAACGGUUCACAGCAACAUUUGAUUUGACAUAACAAUAGGCUCCUGGAGUUUUCGGAGCUCCUGUUUGCUGCUUUAACGUCGUACAGAUAAUAUUAACAUUUACAAAUUGAAGGAAAUCUUCUUUGUUUCUUUCUCGAUUGAUUCAUCUCUCACGGUCAACCUUGACCCACGAUACUAAGCCGAUAGGGUUGCAGCCAGCAGCCCCCAAUCUUCUUCCUGUUGUUAUGCUUUUAUAUUCUGAUUCUGGUUGUUACUCUUUGUCCUUUACUUACCACCCUUCAUCCAUCAUCUCAUGGAAGUCUCACGUGACUGGCACGUGAUUUCAGAUGAUGGAGCAUGUAAAUUUUGUCACAAAUUGGUUUGAAGAAGAACAACUGCAGGGAUGGUACUCCUGACUGGAUUCAAUUAAUCAGGAUUUUGAUCAGGGAAUUUGAUGAACAAGUUUUGAGUCUAG